UGCCACAGUGACGGAAAGGUGAUGAACUUGCAGAGCAUGGACUGCUGGCUGCCAGGGGUCGGGGACUAGGUGAAAAAAAUGAAGGAUUGCAAGUACAGAUUGAUAGUUACAGAUCAGUCAUGGGUGCCAGGUGAAAGAAUCCAUUUGGGAGCCAAUCCACCCCAAAGACAUGAGUGUUGUGGGUAAGAGGCAUGGGGAGUGGCAUCUGACUAUUGGCUGAGCUCCCCAGGGGCAGCCUGUGUGGUGCUGUUAGAAGGAUGUGCCCAGAGCAUGGAGGUGUAAGCGAAGGUGUGAACUGUACCUGGCCCAGGGGCUGUGCCCUCCUGGCCUCCCUGUAUUUGCUGUGAGCCAUGUGGACCCCACACAAUGGACUGAUGGACUGCAACUAGCUAAUGCUAUACUGGAUCCAACUCCAUCACAGAAGGAAACUUUGGAUGCUGACUUUGCUUUUAGCUCUGCUGAAUCCCCAGCUACACAUUUUCCAGGACUGGAUUAAAGGAAAUGGGACUUUGGAAACCCAGGGAUGUAAUU